rnacentral:rRNA from 1 species
CGUGAGAUGUUGGGUUAAGUCCCGCAACGAGCGCAACCCCUAUUGAUAGUUGCCAUCAUUAAGUUGGGAACUCUAUCAAGACCGCCGGUGAUAAAUCGGAGGAAGGUGGGGACGACGUCAAGUCAUCAUGGCCUUUAUGUCCAGGGCUACACACGUGCUACAAUGGCCGGUACAAAACGUCGCGAUCCCGUAAGGGGGAGCUAAUCGCAAAAACCGGUCUCAGUUCGGAUUGAAGUCUGCAACUCGACUUCAA